UACAGAGGGGGCAAGCGUUGUUCGGAAUUACUGGGCGUAAAGGGCGCGUAGGCGGCCUGUUAAGUCGAACGUGAAAUCCCCGGGCUCAACCCGGGAACUGCGUCCGAUACUGGCAGGCUUGAAUCCGGGAGAGGGAUGCGGAAUUCCAGGUGUAGCGGUGAAAUGCGUAGAUAUCUGGAGGAACACCGGUGGCGAAGGCGGGACUCUGGGCCGAUACUGACGCUGAGGAGCGAAAGCGUGGGGAGCGAACAGG
rnacentral:rRNA from 1 species